UUAGAGAUGCUAUAACGUCAUUUUGAUGCGCUUUUAGAGACGCCAUCUUAUCUAGGGUAUCAGUACUGUGUUUCAAAGCCAGUUCAUAGAUGCAGGGUUUAUAUUAUCCGACAUGCCUGUCUAGUAUUGUGCUGCUAUAAAUUGUUCAGAACUCCGCAAUGAAGACACAUUGAAGAAGCGGAUCCCCUUUCACGGGUAACAAGAAAGCACGUGAAUAUGGGGUGCCUAUUUUAAACAAACUAACUAAAAAGUAAAUAUUUUAUCAGGUGUGUUUUUUUGUUCCGGAUUUAAUUUAAAUGUAGUUUUUUUUUUGGUUUGUUUUGGUUUGUUUUACUACAUUUAAAUAAUAAUACUAAUUAAUAAUAAUAAUCCCCCAGAUUUAGCUCAUACAUACAUUUUUAACAAAAACAUUCAUACAUUUUUUGAAAUUUGUACUUCCAGAUACAAUUUAAAUCAGAUUUAACGGGGUUGGUCAGAUGGACAGGGAUCAUUUGCAUGUUGGCUUCAGAUUUAGCUUGCAAAAUAAAUAUUUAUUUUGACAAAACCCAGAUAUAUUUUUUCACAUUUAAUUGCUAACCUCAGAGAUUUAUUUUGGAUUUAUCUGUCAGCAAAAUGUUGCCUGGCCAAGUGUAAAAAUGUGAUUUAAGUUUAAUGUAUUUUUUCACAGGUUUAUUUGUUAGAUUCACAGAUUUAACAUGUCAGCUAAAUGUUGACUCGCCCAGUGUAAAAGAAAAACGACAAGAAAGUGAUUUGUAUAAUUGUUCUAUUAAAAAGCCCUGCCACUGUAAAUAAUAUGUAGUGAAAUGUUUUUUGUAAAUAAUAUUUGUAUAUUAACUUAAUAAGGAAUGUGAAUGCUGUUUGUUUUGACUGCGCUUGGCAGAGAUGGGGUUAAAACCCGUCCCUGCCAAACACGUGUGUAAUGUGACCAGAGUUAAUUGUUUGAUUGCUGAUUAGCUGUGGCCACAUACUAUAAAAACAUUCAGAGGCUGUACCUCUGGGCAAUUGAUAUUUUGUGCAUUCAUUGAUCCUUCUACAAUACAAAGGUCACCAGUGCCUGAGGAAGAAAAGCAAGCCCAUGCUAUCACACUACCUCAACCAUGUUUAACACUUGGCAUGAUGAACUCUUCCUCCAAACAUAUUGUUGCUUUCUUGGUGAAAAAAAAAUAUAUAUUUUGGGUUUGUCGGAUCACUUUAUAUUUUGCAGUUUAAAAAUAAAAUCAAUUUUCAAAUACAGUA